CCCUUAGAUGUCCUGGGCCGCACGCGCGUUACACUGAUGCAUUCAACGAGCAUAUAACCUUGGCCGAGAGGCCUGGGUAAUCUUGUUAACAUGCAUCGUGAUAGGGAUAGAUUAUUGCAAUUAUUAAUCUUGAACGAGGAAUUCCUAGUAAUCGCAGUUCAUCAAACUGCAAUGAUUACGUCCCUGCCCUUUGUACACACCGCCCGUCGCACCUACCGAUUGAAUGGUCCGGUGAGGACUCGGGAUUGUGGUUUAGCUCCUUCAUUGGGGCCUGACUGCGAGAACUUGUCCGAACCUUAUCAUUUAGAGGAAGGUGAAGUCGUAACA
rnacentral:rRNA from 1 species